UACGAAGGGGGGCUAGCGUUGUUCGGAAUUACUGGGCGUAAAGCGCGUGUAGGCGGGUCUUUUAAGUCAGGGGUGAAAUGCCAAGGCUCAACCUUGGAACUGCCUUUGAUACUGGAGACCUUGAGUCCGGGAGAGGUGAGUGGAAUUGCGAGUGUAGAGGUGAAAUUCGUAGAUAUUCGCAAGAACACCAGUGGCGAAGGCGGCUCACUGGCCCGGAACUGACGCUGAGGCACGAAAAGCGUGGGGGAGCAAACAGG
rnacentral:rRNA from 1 species